GCCUAUACAUGCAAGUCGAGCGAACGGACGAGAAGCUUGCUUCUCUGAUGUUAGCGGCGGACGGGUGAGUAACACGUGGAUAACCUACCUAUAAGACUGGGAUAACUUCGGGAAACCGGAGCUAAUACCGGAUAAUAUUUUGAACCGCAUGGUUCAAAAGUGAAAGACGGUCUUGCUGUCACUUAUAGAUGGAUCCGCGCUGCAUUAGCUAGUUGGUAAGGUAACGGCUUACCAAGGCAACGAUGCAUAGCCGACCUGAGAGGGUGAUCGGCCACACUGGAACUGAGACACGGUCCAGACUCCUACGGGAGGCAGCAGUAGGGAAUCUUCCGCAAUGGGCGAAAGCCUGACGGAGCAACGCCGCGUGAGUGAUGAAGGUCUUCGGAUCGUAAAACUCUGUUAUUAGGGAAGAACAUAUGUGUAAGUAACUGUGCACAUCUUGACGGUACCUAAUCAGAAAGCCACGGCUAACUACGUGCCAGCAGCCGCGGUAAUACGUAGGUGGCAAGCGUUAUCCGGAAUUAUUGGGCGUAAAGCGCGCGUAGGCGGUUUUUUAAGUCUGAUGUGAAAGCCCACGGCUCAACCGUGGAGGGUCAUUGGAAACUGGAAAACUUGAGUGCAGAAGAGGAAAGUGGAAUUCCAUGUGUAGCGGUGAAAUGCGCAGAGAUAUGGAGGAACACCAGUGGCGAAGGCGACUUUCUGGUCUGUAACUGACGCUGAUGUGCGAAAGCGUGGGGAUCAAACAGGAUUAGAUACCCUGGUAGUCCACGCCGUAAACGAUGAGUGCUAAGUGUUAGGGGGUUUCCGCCCCUUAGUGCUGCAGCUAACGCAUUAAGCACUCCGCCUGGGGAGUACGACCGCAAGGUUGAACUCAAGGAAUUGACGGGGACCCGCACAGCG
rnacentral:rRNA from 1 species